CAAAGAAUAGUUUAAUGUAGAACAUUAGC
rnacentral:tRNA from 1 species